rnacentral:rRNA from 1 species
GGUAGGAGAGCGUUCUUGGUGCGGCGAAGGUUGACCGAAAGGUUUGCUGGAGCGCCAAGAAGUGAGAAUCCGGGCAUGAGUAACGAACUUCAGGUGAGAAUCCUGGACUCCGAAAUAUCCAAGGUUUCCGCAGCUACGUUGUUCGUCUGCGGGUUAGUCGAUCCUAACAUGAGGCCAGUGUAGUGCUGGCGUAGUGGAUGGAUAACCGGUUAAUAUUCCGGUACUUUGGUAAAUUCGUUAUCAGUUGGGGCGUGACGAUGAAUGGAAGGUUUAGAGUAGAAGUGAAAUGCUACUUUCAAGCGUGUAGUUAGAAGGGGUUGGUAAAUCCGCCUUUUCGUUAUAAAGCGAAACGCAAAUAAGAGUCCCGAUGUAAGUCGGGACAAUUGAAUUGAAUCCAUUUAUCCAAGAAAAGCGUCGCAAUCAGAAUUUACUGAAUUCGUACCAAAACCGACACUGGUGGAUGAGUCGAGAAGACUUAGGAGAUUGAAAGACAGAUGAUUAAGGAACUUGGCAAAUUAACUGGGCGUAAGUUUUACAAGAUGCCCUGCCCGAUAUAACAAUCGGGCUACAACAAAAGAAUGCAUGGCGACUGUUUACCACAAACACAGGUCUCUGCAAACCCGUAAGGGGAAGUAUAGGGGCUGAAACCUGACCGGUGCCAGAAGGUUAAGAAGAUGGGUUUUUCCGCAAGGACUGGCCUGUUUUAUAAGCCCUGGUGAACGUCAGCAGUAACUCUAACUGUUCUAAGGUAGCGAAGUCCUUUGUCGUGUAAGUUACGACACGUAUGAAAGGUUCAACGACUGUGCAACUGUCUUAAUCAUCUAUUCAGUGAAAUUGAAAGAGCGGUGAAGAUGCCGUUUAAUUACAUCAGGACAAAAAGACCCCAUGAAGCUUUACUGGAUCUUUACAUUGAUAAGAAUAUAAAUACUGUCGAGCGUAGGAGGGAGCCGCAAGGCGCCAAUGGAACACCUCCCUUGUUUAUUUUUGAAUCUAACCUAUUCCGCUGAAUCGCGGAAGGGAACAGUGUAUGGUUGCUAGUUUGCCUGGGGCAGGCACCUGCAAAAAAGUAACGCGGGUAUACAAAGGUCAACUUGAUCCGGUAGGAAAUCGGAUCGUAAGUACAAAAGCAUAAGUUGGCUUGACUGUGAGACUUACAAGUCGAAUAGCACUAGUUUACUAGAGCUAUGCUGAGACUAGAUCUCAGUACAGGGUCGAAAGACGGUUUUAGUGAUCCUCGUGACCUAUUUGGUAUAGGCACGGGCUUACUGGAUAAAAGCUACUCUGGGGAUAACAGGCUGGUCGCAUCCGAUAGUUCAUAUUGACGAUGCGGUUCGGCACCUCGAUGUCGUCUUGGCGCAUCCUGGCCCUGAAGAAGGGGCCAAGGGUUGGUCUGUUCGCCCAUUAAAGCGCUGCGUUAGAUGGGUUCAGAGCGUCGCGAGACAGCUCGGUCUCUAUCCGAUGUAAUCGUUCGUUUCUUGAGGGAAUUCGUCUACAGUACGAGAGGACCUAGGCGAGGGAACCGCUGGUGUGCCAGUUGUGCCGUCAGGCGCAUUGCUGGGUAGCUACGUUCUUAUUAGAUAACUGCUGAAAGCAUCUCAAGCAGGAAACUGACCCCGAGAUAAGGAAACGUAGUCCCGUAAGGGACGAGAGAUCGCCGGGAGACUACCGGUUAAUACUCUGCGUGUGGAAGAUCCGUAAGGAUUUAAGCUAAGCAGUGGAAAGAUCGAAGAAAUUCU